rnacentral:rRNA from 1 species
UUUAACUGAAGAGUUUGAUCAUGGCUCAGAUUGAACGCUGGCGGCAGGCUUAACACAUGCAAGUCGAGCGGGGGAAGGUAGCUUGCUACUGGACCUAGCGGCGGACGGGUGAGUAAUGCUUAGGAAUCUGCCUAUUAGUGGGGGACAACAUCUCGAAAGGGAUGCUAAUACCGCAUACGUCCUACGGGAG